CCACAAGGGGUGCAUCAUGUGCAAUAAUUCGAUGCAACGCGAACAACCUUACCUAUUCUUGACAUCGUGGGAACUUGGUAGAGAUACCUUGGUGCUUUCGGGAACGCACACACAGGUGGUGCAUGGCCGUCGUCAGUUUGUGUUGUGAAAUGUUGGGUUAAGUCCCGUAACGAGCGCAACCCCUAUCCCUAUUUGCCAGCGAUUCGGUCGGGAACUCUAGGGAGACUGCCGGUGACAAACCGGAGGAAGGUGGGGAUGACGUCAGGUCAUCAUGGCCCUUACGAGUAGGGCUACACACGUGCUACAAUGGCCGGUACAAAGGGUUGCGAAGCCGCGAGGUGGUGCUAAUCCCGAAAAGCCGGUCUCAGUCCGGAUCGGAGUCUGCAACUCGACUCCGUGAAGUCGGAAUCGCUAGUAAUCGUGAAUCAGAAUGUCACGGUGAAUACGUUCCCGGGCCUUGUACACACCGCCCGUCACACCAUGGGAGUGGACUGCACCAGAAGUGGUUAGCUUAACCUUCGGGAGAGCGAUC
rnacentral:rRNA from 1 species